UACGUAGGGUGCAAGCGUUUGUCCGGAAUUAUUGGGCGUAAAGAGCUCGUAGGCGGUUUGUCGCGUCUGCUGUGAAAAACUCGGGGGCUCAACCCCGAGCUUGCAGUGGGUACGGGCAGACUAGAGUGCGGUAGGGGAGACUGGAAUUCCUGGUGUAGCGGUGGAAUGCGCAGAUAUCAGGAGGAACACCGGUGGCGAAGGCGGGUCUCUGGGCCGUAACUGACGCUGAGGAGCGAAAGCAUGGGGAGCGAACAGG
rnacentral:rRNA from 1 species